AUUGAACGCUGGCGGCAGGCCUAACACAUGCAAGUCGAACGAGUGGCGGAAGGGUGAGGAAUGUCUGGGAAACUGCCUGAUGGAGGGGGAUAACUACUGGAAACGGUAGCUAAUACCGCAUACCAUCAGAUGUGCCCAGAUGGGAUUAGCUUGUUGGUGGGGUAACGGCUCACCAAGGCGACGAGCCCUAGUGGGUCUGAGAGGAUGCCCAGCCACACUGGACCUGAGACACGGUCCAGACUCCUACGGGAGGUAGCAGUGGGGAAUAUUGCACAAUGGGCGCAAGCCUGAUGCAGCCAUGCCGCGUGUAUGAAGAAGGCCUUAGGGUUGUAAAGUACUUUCAGCGGGGAGGCGUGACCCGCAGAAGAAGCACCGGCUAACUCCGUGCCAGCCGCCGCGGGAAUAC
rnacentral:rRNA from 1 species